rnacentral:rRNA from 1 species
ACGGGGUGCAGCAGGCGCGAAUACUCCGCAAUGCGGGCAACCGCGACGGGGCUACCCCGAGUGCCGGGCGAAGAGCCCGGCUUUUGCCCGGUCUAAAAAGCCGGGAGAAUAAGCGGGGGGCAAGUCUGGUGUCAGCCGCCGCGGUAAUACCAGCUCCGCGAGUGGUCGGGGUGUUUACUGGGCUUAAAGCGCCCGUAGCCGGCCCGGCAAGUCGCUCCUGAAAUCCCCGGGCUCAACCCGGGGGCGGGGGGCGAUACUGCCGGGCUAGGGGGCGGGAGAGGCCGCCGGUACUCCGGGGGUAGGGGCGAAAUCCGUUAAUCCCCGGAGGACCACCAGUGGCGAAAGCGGGCGGCCAGAACGCGCCCGACGGUGAGGGGCGAAAGCCGGGGGAGCAAAGGGGAUUAGAUACCCCUGUAGUCCCGGCCGUAAACGAUGCGGGCUAGCUGUCGGCCGGGCUUAGGGCCCGGCCGGUGGCGAAGGGAAACCGUUAAGCCCGCCGCCUGGGGAGUACGGCCGCAAGGCUGAAACUUAAAGGAAUUGGCGGGGGAGCAC